AUUGAACGCUGGCGGCAGGCCUAACACAUGCAAGUCGAACGAGUGGCGGACGGGUGAGUAAUGUCUGGGAAACUGCCUGAUGGAGGGGGAUAAAUAAUGGAAACGGUAGCUAAUACCGCAUACCAUCAGAUGGGCCCAGAUGGGAUUAGCGAGUUGGUGGGGUAACGGCUGACCAAGGCGACGAGCCCGAGCUGGUCUGAGAGGAGUACCAGCCACCCUGGAACUGAGACACUGUCCAGACUCCUACGUGAGGCAGCAGUGGGGAAUAUUGCACCAUGGGCGAAAGCCUGAUGCAACCAUGCCGCGUGUAUGAAGAAGGCCUUCGGGUUGUAAAGUACUUUCAGCGGGGAGGCGUUACCCGCAGCAGAAGCCCCGGCUAACUCCGUGCCAGCAGCCGCGGUAAUUC
rnacentral:rRNA from 1 species